UUUACUUACACUUUCUAACUUUUUUUAUUUAAAAUGACAUAUUAUUCUUCAAUUUUUGUAGAGAGUUUUCACAAACUCCAGCUAAUAACUCUCAAGAAACUUCGGAUCGGCAAUUCAUUAGUUGGUUAAAAUAAAAGGUUGAGAUGAAUCCAUCAAAAUCUCAGAAGUUUGAAAUGGAAUCAACUUCAAAGACUGUUAAGCAUUCAUUUUUUGCACCUGGCACCUUAGCAAGGGGACGAGGGCAAAGCUUCAGAACUUUGGAUUCGGUGAGAGUAAAUGCUGAACAGAGACUCCCGAUUGGCAAAAGUAAAAUUUGUAAUGCACCAGCUUCUUAUUUGAACGAACUAGCUCAGAAUAAGAGUCUUGCACCUCCUGGUUUUGAUACACUAGGAGAUGAUGUUUCCGUCCCGCAAGAAGUUGAAGUGAUGCAAGACACUUAGAGAAACGAAAUAAGUAUUUCGUUGUUUCAAGUUGUAAUAUCUUUUUGUUGUUAUUGCACUGCCACUUGCCACUUUUUUACUGUUUGACUUAAAUUUAUAAUUAUCAGGUUCAUGCGUAUCUGAAAAGGAAAAAAAGUGAGAGGAAAGAACAAGUGUAAAAAUGUUCUAGGACUCAAAGUUGGAGAAAAGUUGAGUGUCACUUUCUACAACGAUCGAGUUGUUGGGAAGCAUUCAACCUCAUUUGUGAGACACAUAGGUAUAUUAGUUUGUGACUAUAAUAUAUGCCCACUGCGCGUACAUUCAUGGGCGGACAUUGAAGAAUAUAAGCUGGACCAUAUGUGGGAAGCUGUUACUAUAAGAAUUUAAAGUA